AGCGGGGGAUAACACCUGGAAACAGAUGCUAAUACCGCAUAACAACUUGGACCGCAUGGUCCGAGCUUGAAAGAUGGCUUCGGCUAUCACUUUUGGAUGGUCCCGCGGCGUAUUAGCUAGAUGGUGGGGUAACGGCUCACCAUGGCAAUGAUACGUAGCCGACCUGAGAGGGUAAUCGGCCACAUUGGGACUGAGACACGGCCCAAACUCCUACGGGAGGCAGCAGUAGGGAAUCUUCCACAAUGGACGAAAGUCUGAUGGAGCAACGCCGCGUGAGUGAAGAAGGGUUUCGGCUCGUAAAACUCUGUUGUUAAAGAAGAACAUAUCUGAGAGUAACUGUUCAGGUAUUGACGGUAUUUAACCAGAAAGCCACGGCUAACUACGUGCCAGCAGCCGCGGUAAUACGUAGGUGGCAAGCGUUGUCCGGAUUUAUUGGGCGUAAAGCGAGCGCAGGCGGUUUUUUAAGUCUGAUGUGAAAGCCUUCGGCUCAACCGAAGAAGUGCAUCGGAAACUGGGAAACUUGAGUGCAGAAGAGGACAGUGGAACUCCAUGUGUAGCGGUGAAAUGCGUAGAUAUAUGGAAGAACACCAGUGGCGAAGGCGGCUGUCUGGUCUGUAACUGACGCUGAGGCUCGAAAGUAUGGGUAGCAAACAGGAUUAG
rnacentral:rRNA from 1 species